GGACUACCGGGGUUUCUAAUCCCGUUCGCUCCCCGCGCUUUCGCGUCUCAGCGUCAGGCGCGGCCCAGGGGGCCGCCUGCGCCACGGGUGUUCCUCCGGAUCUCUACGCAUUUCACCACUACACCCGGAAUUCCACCCCCCUCUACCGGCCUCCAGACGGAUAGUUUUCGCCGACCUCGCCCGGUUAAGCCAGGCGCUUUCACAGCAAACUUACCCGUCCGCCUACACGCGCUUUACGCCCAGUGAUUCCGGACAACGCUCGCCUCCUACGUAUUACCGCGGCUGCUGGCAC
rnacentral:rRNA from 1 species